GCGAACGCUGGCGGCAGGCUUAACACAUGCAAGUCGAGCGGGCACUUUCGGGUGUCAGCGGCGGACGGGUGAGUAACGCGUGGGAACGUGCCCUCUGGUUCGGAAUAACUCAGGGAAACUUGAGCUAAUACCGGAUACGCCCUUUUGGGGAAAGGCUUGCUGCCGGAGGAUCGGCCCGCGUCUGAUUAGCUAGUUGGUGAGGUAACGGCUCACCAAGGCGACGAUCAGUAGCUGGUCUGAGAGGAUGAUCAGCCACACUGGGACUGAGACACGGCCCAGACUCCUACGGGAGGCAGCAGUGGGGAAUAUUGGACAAUGGGCGCAAGCCUGAUCCAGCCAUGCCGCGUGAGUGAUGAAGGCCUUAGGGUUGUAAAGCUCUUUUAUCCGGGACGAUAAUGACGGUACCGGAGGAAUAAGCCCCGGCUAACUUCAUG
rnacentral:rRNA from 1 species